UGAGUAGACACAUGGGAGGUAUAACUAGACAGGCUGCAGGAUAUUGCCAAGGAUGAUUUGAUCUCAGAAAGAGGCCUAAAAGAAAUUAUUAAGAGUAUAUAUGGGCAUGGAAAGAUGGGCCAGUAACAUAAUGAGAAGAAAAGAUAGCUACUAUGCUACUUCUGUACCUUCGAGAUGUUAUUUAAAAAAAAAAACAGAGAAAGAAUUCAGGCAUAUUGAGUAGAUCUUCUUUGGAAGGUUUGUGAAAAAACAUGAGCAGGAAUUCUACGGGAUGGGUAAAGUGUCAUGUGUACUAGUGUAGGUGGCCUCAGUCAGGGAGGCCAAAGUCAACAGCCAAUUCUUCCUCUAGUAUUUUGUACACCACAGAGGAGGUUGUGAUUUGCACCACUGGAAGAGGUACCCACACCAAAGAGAACACAGAUCCAUCAAAGUAUCUUACAGGCCUGAAGAUGAUCGAUAUCAUUGUUGUUGAACUUGGGAUAAACUGCAGACCUUGCCCGUGAGUCAUUAAGAACUAGGACACUCAGAUGAGGAAACUGAGUUACAGAGAAAGGUACUGGCUUAUUCAGGGUCACCCAGCGAGGAAGUGGCAGAGGUGGGCUUGAGCAAAGAUCUCCUGACUCCUAGCCCAGUGUUUCUUCUUCCAUGACACAUAGCCUAGAGGAGAGGAAAACAAAUAAACAAGUUAAAAACCCCAAUUCUGUUCCAAAGGCUGGAU